CAGAAAGGGACAGAGACGGCGAAGUUUGACGGUCUGGAAAGCAGAGACCAGCAGGGCUGACUGCUUGGGAGCACGAGGGACAGCUCUCCACCGACCGAAGGAGGAGAAUGCUAUUUAUUUCAGCACCAAAUAUCCGGACAGCGCCUCUCGGGAGGUCCGAGAAGAGAACCGCGAUCUGUUUCAGCACCGGGGCUCAGGACAGUUCCCAGCGGGCUCCGUUUCGUCUCCAGAACCCUGGACAGCUCCUCCAGCUUGGAAUGCACUCCCUCCACCUCCAACCAGAGCUCCCCACAACUGACCCUGCCUUCUUCUGCAAGCUCCAUUUCAUCAAGGGAAACGAUCCUUAUUGCCUCACCAUUUCCCACGUGAAGUCUGUAUUGACAUUCUCAUAGACCUGGGAUAUUGUGUCUGCAGCACAUAGUCCAAUUAUUUUCAUGUUAUCUACUGACA
rnacentral:lncRNA from 10 species